AUCCUUUUAUUGGUUCAUAAGCAUGAUGAUUGGGUGUCCACGCACUUGCAUGACAUGUGCCUCCCAGAAGCCUUCUUAUAUGACAGCACAUUACCCAUCUGGCA